GAGUUUGAUCCUGGCUCAGAGUGAAGGCUAUAAGCCUGCUUGAAUACAUGCGAGUUGAAUGGUUAAAACCAUAGCGUACGGGUGAGUAAUAGGCUAAUAUCUGGCUUCAACUUCGGAAUAAUCCUAUCCCCCAGGGGAGAAGGCAACAGGAGAAUACCGGAUAAAUAUAUAAAGGUCCGCCGGUUGAAGAUGAUUAGGUUCAGUAUUAGGUAGUUGGUGAGGUAAAGCUUACCAAGCCAAUGAUGCUUAGUUGGUCUGAUAGGACGAUCAAUCACACUGGGACUGAGACAAGGCCCAGGUUUCAUUUGAAGGCAGCAGUAAGGAAUAUUGGACAAUGAGCGAAAGCUUGAUCCAGCAAGGCUUGGUGAGGGAUUGAAGGCUUAGGUUGUAAAC
rnacentral:rRNA from 1 species